rnacentral:lncRNA from 10 species
CGCCGCUCGACACCUCCUGCAGCCGCACAAUAGUAAUGCAAGACGCCGUGAAAAGGAGGAAGAGCUCGACGUCGCCGCGUCGACGUCAUCACGCACGGACUCUUCCGCGCCACACCUAACAAAUACGCCGACGAGAGCUCCCCGCCGGCGGAAGAAUGGCCUGGAGAGGGCCUCGAUGCUUGCUGGGACCUGUAGUCUUGACGCAUGAGAGCAACUGGCGCAGGCGCGCUGCUCGGUCAUAUCAGUCGGGAUUCGAGCCCCGGUGACCAAUCGACCCGGUUUGUUCGGAACUGACAGGGUUGUCAAGACGCUGGGCUUUCCCUGGCAAACCAAGACGACCUGAUCACGUAGUUAGAACCCAGAGAAAGCAUUACUGGGCGUGAGCCGGUCGGGGCUCCGGUAUUUGCCCUUCGCCCAGGUGUUGUUUUGGCUACAGACUUGAUGUCCUACCUGUUGAAGAAGUCCCCAAGAAUCGCACCCACACCAAAACCUACCCUACCUGUUCCUCCCCCAGGUUGCUGUAGAAAUGGACCUCUACCCGCCCAGAUGUUACCAUUCAUCGCGAAGGGUGUCGUGAAGAUGAAUGCCCUGUCGAACAUCAUCCAGCAGGAGGUCAAGGAAUUUUAACUGAAUGAUUGAAUAGUCUUGCAAGAUCUAUGAAACAAGCUUCGGCUGCUUUUCCUGCCAGCGAAAGCAACAAAGGAAAUAUAAUUACAAGUGGUAAUUUCUGUAAGAAAUCAGCCUCCUGGUUAUGCAGCAGAGAAGCCUGAGCAAAACUCCCUCCUCAUAGGUCCUCCUAAAUGGCACACUAAGCAUUGUAGUAGACAGUGAGCUUCAUGAAAAGAAAAAGAGAUUGUAAGGCUGUUUUCAUAGCAUCUAUUAGACUUUAUUAAAAGCAAAUACAAUAGGAAGUUAAACAAUAUAAGCAAACAGUCACACAUAAAAAUUGUGUCUUUGAAACAAUAUAUGUUUGAAACAAUGAGGAAACAAGCCUGAGGAAAUUUGGGAUGGUGCUAUAUUAUAGUCAGCUUUAAAGUCAGGUGCCAAGCAUUAAACAGGCCUUUAACUGCAGAAGUAAUAAGAUAAGAGCUGCAUUUAAGAACUAUUAGCAGGCCAGGCGUGGUGGCUCAUGCCUGUAAUCCCAGCACUUUGGGAGGCUGAGACAGGAGGAUUGCUUGAGUCUAGAAGUUCAAAACCAACCCAGGAAACACAGCAAGACCCCCACCCCCCCGACCCCCAUCUCUACAGAAAAUACAAAAAAAAAUUAGCUGGACAUGGUGGCCUACCUGUGGUCCCAGCUACUCGGGAGGCUGAGUUGGGAGGAUCAUGUAAGUCCAGGAGGUCAAGGCUGCAGUGAGCCAUGAUUGCACCACUGCAGUCCAGCCUGCAUGACACAGCAGGACCCUGUCUCAAAAUAACAGUGUUCUAAAAAACAAACAAACAGUUUCCCAGUGAUGUAAAAAUGGGUCAGAUCAAAUUUGUCUAUUCACUUUCCUACUAUACACUAUGCAAUCUUGGAAAGAAAAAACUGUUUUACAUAAAUUACCAAUAUAAGGGUCAGCCUAAAUGCCAACUGUAUUCCUGCACCUUAGGUCAAACCAGAGAGGUUUAUCUUUUGAACAGUUCUCUCCAUUUGCUAGGAAAAUGAUUAUUUUUUUUUCUACACAUUGUUAUUUUAGCAAAAAAAAAUGGUUUUUAGAUCUAUGCCAUCUAUCAUGAAGAUCACUAA